CGAGUAAAAAUGUAUCUCAAUGUGCUAAAUUUUUGCAGUCCAAGUUUUUAUCACUUUAUGCUGAUUGCACUGUGAAUUUCAACAUUUUCAAAAGUCUGGCUUUUAACUUAAUAAAAAAAUUUAAUGAGUGUGGAAAAAGAAAAAAGUUCUUUCUUACUAAAUAUAAACAUUUUUUGGAUCAAAAUCAACAAUGCAAAUAUCUCUUAUUAGAAAAAGAUUCUGAAAAAGAGAUUAGAACACAUGAGGAAGAACUGCUAUUAAUUAGAAAAGGUGAAAAUCUGAUUAAACAGGGUAAUCAACUCAUCAAGCAGGGUGAGCGUUAAAUAAAAGAAGGGGAAUUACUGCUUCGUACUCAUGGAUCCAAUGUAAACAGUGUACCAUGUAGAGUGCCUAAAUCAUCUGCAGUCAAUACAUCUUGUACAC